AGGAGAUUUGCUUUCCAGAGGGUUCUGAUAGCCUCAAAGUGGGACUCACUCCAAGACCAGGGUCUCGACUAUACAGCCUAGGAUGACCUUGAAUUUCUAACCUUACGCCCUCCACCUCCUGCUAGGAUCACAGAUAAGUGACAUCAUAACCAGUUUGUGUGAUGCUGGCAAUCUAACUGGGGUCUCUUGCACACUAAGCAAGCACUGUACCUACUAAGCCACAUCCCCAGUCCCUCAUUUAGAAAAAAAUGAGCAAGUACUAUAUAUCAGAA
rnacentral:lncRNA from 1 species